ensembl:lncRNA
AAGUUUUUCUCAAGUCCUCUCCAGCCACAACAUUGGUUGCUUGGUGAUGGUGUUGAUACUGCAAGCGUAGGAGUAGAGAGUCCCCAGCUGUGGCAGGGCUGAGAUCUGCACCCUGAGCCCCAGUUAAGCUCCUGGCUCCUGCAUACCUCUGAGGCUGCAGCGUUUCUACUCCCCCCUUCAUCACUUCAGUGUCAAAGGAUGCUUAAUGUUUGAGACAGCAGCCAGGGAGGUGGAAGUCUGGGAUCCCACCCUAAGGAUACCACCCGUCCCUUCUGCCAUGGACAUCCUUUGUCUCUAGGGUCACUUGCAGCCGUUUUAGCCACCCAGCAGUUAAUUUCAAGCAUCAGUGAGCAUUAACAUGGGCUGAAGGAGGGCAGCUGGCACCUCUGG